CUCAAAGGUUCCCUCAGAAUGGUUGGAAAUCAUUCAUAGAGUGUAAAGGCAUAAGGGAGCUUGACUGCGAGACCUACAAGUCGAGCAGGGUCGAAAGACGGACUUAGUGAUCCGGUGGUUCCGCAUGGAAGGGCCAUCGCUCAACGGAUAAAAGCUACCCCGGGGAUAACAGGCUUAUCUCCCCCAAGAGUUCACAUCGACGGGGAGGUUUGGCACCUCGAUGUCGGCUCAUCGCAUCCUGGGGCUGUAGUCGGUCCCAAGGGUUGGGCUGUUCGCCCAUUAAAGCGGUACGCGAGCUGGGUUCAGAACGUCGUGAGACAGUUCGGUCCCUAUCCGUCGUGGGCGUAGGAAAUUUGAGAGGAGCUGUCCUUAGUACGAGAGGACCGGGAUGGACAUACCUCUGGUGUACCAGUUGUCGUGCCAACGGCAUAGCUGGGUAGCUAUGUGUGGACGGGAUAAGUGCUGAAAGCAUCUAAGCAUGAAGCCCCCCUCAAGAUGAGAUUUCCCAACUUCGGUUAUAAGAUCCCUCAAAGAUGAUGAGGUUAAUAGGUUCGAGGCGGAAGCAUGGUGACAUGUGGAGCUGACGAAUACUAAUCGAUCGAAGACUUAAUCAAAA
rnacentral:rRNA from 1 species